GUUGGACAUGGUGGGAUGUGUAUGUAGUCCAGCUACUCAGGAGGCUGAGGCAGGAGGAUCACUUGAGGUCAGGAGCAGGAGGCCAGCCUGGGCAACAUAGAGAGGACCUGUCUCUU
rnacentral:sRNA from 1 species